UACGUAGGGUGCGAGCGUUAAUCGGAAUUACUGGGCGUAAAGCGUGCGCAGGCGGUUCGUUGUGUCGGCGGUGAAAGCCCCGGGCUCAACCUGGGAACUGCGUUUGGUACUGGCAAGCUAGAGUACGGCAGAGGGGGGUGGAAUUCCACGUGUAGCAGUGAAAUGCGUAGAGAUGUGGAGGAACACCGAUGGCGAAGGCAGCCCCCUGGGCCGAUACUGACGCUCAGGCACGAAAGCGUGGGGAGCAAACAGG
rnacentral:rRNA from 1 species